rnacentral:rRNA from 2 species
GCAAAAGCUCAAAUUUGAAACCUUCGGGAUUGUAAUUUGAAGAUUUGGCAUUGGAGAAAGCUAACCCAAGUUGCUUGGAAUAGUACGUCAUAGAGGGUGACAACCCCGUCUGGCUAACCGUUCUCCAUGUAUUGCCUUAUCAAAGAGUCGAGUUGUUUGGGAAUGCAGCUCAAAGUGGGUGGUAAACUCCAUCUAAAGCUAAAUACUGGUGAGAGACCGAUAGCGAACAAGUACUGUGAAGGAAAGGUGAAAAGAACUUUGAAAAGAGAGUGAAAUAGUAUGUGAAAUUGUUGAUAGGGAAGGAAAUGAGUGGAGAGUGGUUGAGGUUUCAGCUUACCUUUGGGUAGGUGUAUUGCCAACGCCGAGUCAUUGACAGCGAGACGGCGGUU